AUUAAAAAAGUUAAAUUCUUUUUUCCUAAGGAACAUUAUAAAAAGAUUAUUAAUCGCGGAUCGGAUCGGUAGGUCAAACAAGAACUUUUAGAGUUUUUUUACACUCAGGAUCACUUCUUUCUUAUACAUAUAAUUAGGCGGCAGCCUAAUAGUUUCGGCCUUGGUGAUGGUCGGAAUCCUAAUAUGCCAAGUAAUAGAUUUAGGGUGCGUCUUCUCGAUGUGCUAUCUUGUAACUAAAUUCAUUCACUGGACAGCUGUUUGUUUGCUUUCUCUAUAAGACUAUAACUAUCUACGGUCGUUUUGUCUCUUUUUUUUUAAAUUACAAGUUACCCGGUCUGAGACUCGAAGACUUGUUUGCCUUGUUGUUUGAAAUCCCUCCAAAGGGAUCCACUUAUUUCGAGGAUUGCCUCAUAGAAUUGAGGGUAUGUGUUUUGAUCAAAGUUCUAAUCUUUCUUCUUCUUCUUCUUGUAUCACGUCUUUACUACCAUAUGAUAAUUUUAAUGAACCUGAAACUUUUCACAAGUCAUGGCUUUUAUUAUUAAGAUACCUCAAAAAAUAUUUGGCUACUUUAGUUUGUAAGCAGCAACAAGGGCUAAUUUUUCUAAUCUGCUAUUUGUUGAGUUUUGUUGCUUGAAUGCAGGAUCAGAACACAUCAGCAGAUUUUAUUUCGUUUUAUGAAGAACUGUUGCCGUAUGCUCAAACUCGGCAGUUAAUUAAGCUGCAUAUAGAAUUGAUCUUCUCAAAACUUGUCUCUGAAUUACAAAUGGAAGCAAGAUUCUCUCUUGAUUCCAUCCUCAGGUUUGCUACCUUUUUUCUAGCUCAUUCUUUGAUGAUCAGACCAUCUGGAUCCUUGUUUGGUUCAUGCUUAUCAGUGUCACUUCAUUGUAUUUAACCACACAACUUUGGAAUCACAUUCUAUCAUUUUUCUUUAUUUCUCUCUUUCCCACAGGUUGAUCGCUGCUUUAUCGGAAGAUCUCAAGGAGGAUUUUGUUCCGUGAGUAUUUUCUCAAAACUAUUUAUCCUUUUCAACUGCGAUUAUUCUUCUAUGGUUUUUGAAAGUGCUUAGGCCACAAUCGGUGCUGCUGCACCCCUUGUAACAUUGUGCCCAGCAUUGUGUGAAAUCUCAUUUUACUCAUAAUGCAUUGACUUGAGAUUUUGUUUCUAUUAUCGGAAUCUCUAUCGUCGUCUUUUACCUUAUGUUGUAUCUCUUUCAUUCCUAGGAAAGAGAAUGGGCUUGCUGACAAUCUGUCUAAGGCAUGUCUCUACCAUGCUCUUAUAACUUGGUCCUAAGACAACUUGGGCCAGAGGCCAUGUCUAUGUUUCCAACCAUUUUUUUAUUUUAUAUGUUUUUUAUCGUCUAGCUUCCUUCCACGGGUUGUCAAUUCGUUGUUAAUCCUCCUGAAUAAUGGUGGUCUGAAAGAUGCAGAGAUUAUUGAGCAGAUAUUCACAUCCUGGUCUACAACAAUAGAAAACCUAAGGUUUUGUUUCGCACGCGACGUCCAAGGUGCUCUCAGGAAUACAUCGGAGAUGAGGUACUACCCCAGUAACAUUAUCAAUGAAAAAAUAUCAGAAUCGAUGUCAUGUGUGUUGGUACUAGCUCGGCCCAGUCAGCUUGAAAAAGGGAUCAAGAUGAUCCUUUCUGAAGUUGCAGAGCAACCGGAGAGAGCUGCUAGAGCUUGUUUCCUCCAUUAUGAUAUGAUUGUGAGGCUGCAGUAAUCUUAAAACACAGAGCUGGUCUUUGGUUUUUAUUUGGGGUGUUGUUUAAUGUCAGUUCUAUAAGUUCUUUUUUUCAAUUAUCUUUUAUUAUUUGAAAUGUUAUAUUAUUUUUAAGAACUUACUCGUGAGGAUUCUUAGAUCUCUGCAGCAUAAGACUUUUGUUUUUAAUAAGCCUCUGCCCUAAGGCUAUUAAAAUUGAUCAGCAAUAUUUGAUUAGAAACUUAAUUCCGUAACACUUGACAAGCUUUCUUAAAUCAUCUUUUUUCUCACUAAAUUUCUUUCAAGGUAACAAUUAUAGAGUAAUACUCUAUCCGUUUCACAAAGAUAAUUUUUAUUUUAUUUUUCACACAUAUUAAGGAAACACAUUAAACCAUUAUAAUAAACUAGAUUCUUUUUCUGCGCUACGCGCGGAUUACAUGGUUCAAAUUUGUCAAUUUACAAAAUUUUCCAGUAUAUUUACAAUAUUACUAAUUGUUUAUAUAACAUUUUAAAACACAAUAAUUUUAUAAUUCACCUGCAAUAAUUUAUUUUAGUGAAAUAUAUAUAUUUUUAUUGUAAAAAAAAAAGAUAUGAAAAUAUUUUAUUCAGAUAUAAUUUCAGAGUAAAUAUAUGAAUAUCUACUUGAUUUUUUUUUGUUUUAGAAUAAUUCAAAUAAUUUUAAUAUUUAUACAAAAAGUAUUUUUAACAACUUUUUAAUAAGUGGUCCAAAUUAAAAAAAUCACACAUGAAUUAAAGUCAUCACUUCUGUUUUAAUAGAAUAGAUUUAUUAGAUUCGUUUAUGGUUCGGGGCUGUUGCCAAAUCAGUGUUCAUUAAUUUGUUUAUCAUAUUUUUAACUCUUAGUUUUAUUUUUAGUUCAUAUUAGCCAAUUUUUUUGUAACAAAGUUUAUAUUAGCCAAUUUAUGUACAGUUAUCGUAAUUUUUAAUAUGUUUCUUGCAACUCAAAUAUUCUUUAAGUAAUUAUCUUACCUAGAAAGAUUUUCUUGUUAGAAAAUAAGCUAUAAAAAUAUUUUUAUAAAAAUAUUUUAGCCAACUAUAUAAUUUAAGAAUUUUUUUAUUUCUUUUACCUGUUAAUAAGAAUCGGUAGGCCAUAUAUUUAGAAAACAAAUCCAUCAAAAAUAUUAUUUUGAUAAAAACUCAUUUACAAAUGUAAAGUAAAAUAUAAUUAAUUUUAAUUUAAUUUAUGAGUAAUAAAAUAAAUUAAUAUAGUUAUAUAAUAUAUGAAUAUUUACAUUUCAAAUAUUAGAUGAAGGUUCUAAAUGAUUUACUAUACACAUGCUUUUUAUUUUGUGAAAUAGACACAUCAAGAUCCACGCUUGUGUUUCUUUUUUUGCUAAUCAAAUAAAAGUAUAAAACAAAAAAUAAAUGAGCAAGCCAAAAAGAGAAAUAAUGUAAGUGGAUAUUUAAACACUCAUUGAUCUAAAGAAUGCCAACUGAAAACAUAGUCAAAACUUGUUUGUUUGUAUGACACACGAUUGACUCAUGAAGUAAUGUUACUGGGAAUUUGAUCUUGACAUCCCAGUGUGUGCUAUCAGUAGGCAUACGCUAGCUCGUUGUUGGUAAUAAAAUUACAUAGGAAUUGCUAGUGUUGCAGUGAUAAACUAAUCGUAGCUCAAAUGAAUAACGAAUCAGUGUUAGAUGUUAAGUUGGUGAAGUCAUGAAAAAAAAUAGAAUUGCUUUAUCCAGGAUUUAACUUGACACAACAUUUGCGUCUGUAUCUAUAUUAAGCACAGUUGCUUCCUGCCUUGUGCACCCAACUUUGACCUGGUACAAACACAGAUCAUGACAGGUUAGUUAAUUAACUAUAAAUAUCCAAACUUUGUAUUAC